CCCAGCUGAAGCCUGCAGGACAGGCACAAGGCAGGUGAAGCCUGAGAGCUGCUCUCACCCAAGCUCAGGGGAGGUGCUUGCUCCAUAUGGAUGUGUACUGCCCAUGCUUCAGCUCUGGCAGGGUUUGCCAGGCCCAAAGCUCUGAAACAGCCCAGUGAAAACUGUCUCCAGGUGGAAUCUACACAGAAUGCAGCCUACGUGGCCAGCUUUCUGUUUUGGUGUCUGGAAAAGGAAAACCACAAAUACUUAUGCUUUUCUUUGACUCCUAGCAACAGCGCUCAGUGUUGUGAAUAAAACCACCCUGGAGCUCUGCAGGAAGUACAGGAGGAGGACAAGCCCUUGGGCUAAUUUACAACCAGGCUUUUCCUGCUCUAGAAACAGUUCUGAAGUGCUCUUCAGCAUCCCCUGUGUUGCUAAAUUAUUUGUGGCUGCAACAGGAGUGUUCUGGUGGAAGUCUCUUCCAGCCGGGCGGCGCACAGCACCACAGCCCAGCUCCCUGCUCGCCGUGGGCACCGCGCUGCGCUCCUCUGCUCCCGGCCAGGCUCAGCCGCUCCUGGCAGCUGCAGGCCAGCUCCUGAGAGACACCACUCCGGCAUCCCCAGGCGGGGACACAACGGGCCCCGUGGCUUGUAAAGGCUUUGAGGCGCCUGCCUUGCAAAGCCAUGGGAGCCACCAGAGCACCCUUGCAGACUCAGUACUGGUGACCCAUUAACAGCCAGAUCAAAGAAACGCCUUUUCCUCAUGCACCAGCCAGCAACAGCAACUGUGUCUGCACCAUCCUCAGAGCUGCAGCACACACAGCAAAGCACACCCACCAGCCCAGCCUUAAGAGCACUCUCCGGUACCCCCUCCACAGAGCGCAGCUCACAGCUCUUGCUGCAUCUGUAAGGAGCUACGCUCUCCCUGUAUACCAGACACUUCUUGGACGAGGCAUUUUCAGAGGCCCCAGCUCAACAAGCUGACAUCAUGUGCUUGAUGUUGCCAAACAAGGAUGAGCUGUUGCUAGAACAAUCAAUUUUUUAAAAUCUCUGACUGUUACCCUUAGUCCUGCAGUAACUAUAGUAACAGCGCUCAGGGCUUCCCCCUCUCCAAAAGGCUCUGCAGCUGCACAGCUCCGCAGCACACAAGGCUGCAUGUGGUGGCAGGCAGGCUGCUGGCUCCCAGUACCACCUUCUGGGCCAAGCUGCAGGUGCUGGUGCGCCAUGGACUCUGGCCCUGGUCACCUCAGGGCUGCCCACCUUCCCCUGCCCUGGUGGCACUGUCCCCGGCUGCAGCAGCCACCUCUGGCCCCCUGCAAAGGGGCUGUGUGGGCACAGGCAGCCCUUGCCCUCUGGCCCACCCAUCCUGUGCAGUGCCACCUCCAACACCUGCACUCACAGAGGGACCAUGCACGCCACAAGGCAAGAGUGAAGAGCAAAUCACACGUGACUUGUUUGUUGAGCUGAGUUAAAAGAUCAAGCAAUUGAUACUGGAAUCAGAAGCACACAAAGAAGGAACAGCCAAGUACAUUGUCAGUAUGGUACACUUCGGCUGCUGCCAGCUAAUCUCUUGGCUCCCUCCAGCAUGCCCAGUGCUGCCGAGGCUGGCGCAGGUGCCAGCUGAAGCAGACCUCUCUCUUUGAAGUGGGGGCAUAAACGCUGCCAUAGGGGUACACCCUGGUUCAGCUGGUGAUCCCAUCUUCAAGGCACU